GAACCUGUGCCUGAGAGAUCAAAACUCUCUGUACUNCCCUUAUACCACUUCCUA
rnacentral:tRNA from 1 species